GAUGAACGCUGGCGGCGUGCCUAAUACAUGCAAGUCGAGCGAACGGACGAUAAGCUUGCUUUUCUGAUGUUAGCGGCGGACGGGUGAGUAACACGUGGAUAACCUACCUAUUAGACUGGGAUAACUUCGUGAAACCGGAGCUAAUACCGGCUGAUAUUUUGAACCGCAUGGUUCAAAAGUGUAAGACGGUCUUGCUGUCACUUAUAGAUGGAUCCGCGCUGCAUUAGCUAUUUGGUAAGGUAACGGCUUACCAAGGCAACGAUGCAUAGCCGACCUGAGAGGGUGAUCAGCCACACUGGAACUGGGACACGGUCCAGACUCCUACGGGAGGCAGCAGUAGGGAAUCUUCCGCAAUGGGCGAAAGCCUGACGGAGCAACGCCGCGUGAGUGAAGAAGGUCUUCGGAUCGUAAAACUCUGUUAUUAGGGAAGAACAUAAGUGUAAGUAACUGUGCACAUCUUGACGGUACCUAAUCAGAAAGCCACGGCUAACUACGUG
rnacentral:rRNA from 1 species